rnacentral:rRNA from 1 species
GACGUAGGGUGCGAGCGUUGUCCGGAUUUAUUGGGCGUAAAGAGCUCGUAGGCGGUGUGUCGCGUCGGCCGUGAAAACCUGCAGCUUAACUGUGGGCGUGCGGUCGAUACGGGCAUCACUGGAGUUCGGCAGGGGAGACUGGAAUUCCUGGUGUAGCGGUGAAAUGCGCAGAUAUCAGGAGGAAUACCGGUGGCGAAGGCGGGUCUCUGGGCCGAUACUGACGCUGAGGAGCGAAAGCGUGGGGAGCAAACAGG